GGUAAGUUAUUUGCAAAUACGGUAGGCUACAUAGUCCUCCUGUCAAUAGUUAAAUCAAUUAUUUCUUCGGAAUACUGAAAAAAAGAUUACUACGUGAUUUUAGUAAUCUAUAUGCCCAUAUCGUUUUUCAAUCAUUGAUUCUUUCCAUAAAUACCGAUAUUCAGAUUGGAAAUCAUAAAAAAUCUAGUAAUUCGAAUCAUAAUUAGAAUCAUAAGAUAAGAGUUAAGGCGAUUAUUUCAGAUUGAUUGGAACAAGUAGAUGUAGCAAAUAAAUAGAAUUGGGUGCUAUGUCAAUUCCAUACAAUAAGUUGUAAAUACUGUAGGCAGUAUAUACGG
rnacentral:lncRNA from 1 species